rnacentral:lncRNA from 1 species
CAUAGGCGGAGUUACAGAGCUUCUACUCUCUCUCUAAAAUAUUUCAUCUUUCUCUCUCUAAAAUGCCCCAUUAAAGUUUUUCACAGUUUGUGCAGGACGACAGAGAAAGAGGUUCAUUUAAUGGCCACGGGAAAGACAGAACACAGGAGGCCUCUUUCAAAUCACAACUCGCUCGGAUAUUUAAAUCAACUAUAUCUGCUCCACAGAUGAAGCUUCUAUUUCAUCCAACGGCUGGAAUUAAUCGUGAAAUGGGGAAGUUUGAAAGAAUAUAAUUUUUGGAGGCUCAAAAUAAUUGAUGCCCUUGUUUCUUUUUUACCUACGAAAAAAAUGAAAACUCUUUGUUUCUUGGUACUAUUGCUAUAUUUCUAUAAAUAGUAUUUAUUUUGUUCAAUUCCAGAAAUACUGUGAGUUAUUUUGCUAUCUUUCUAUAAAUAGUGUUUAUUUUGUGCGGAGGAAAGUGGCAUUUGGUUGGUGGAAGGUUAAUUAUGUUGGUGCAUGGAGAGAAGAGACGGCGAUUGGUGGUACGGGUUGGGUGAUUAGAAACAGCAAUGGUUAGUUCCAAUUGGGAGGAGGCCCUGGUGGAGUGAGGGCAGCCUCCAGUUUAAUAAAUAGUGUAGUACCCGUGUCAGUUUCAUAAAUAGUGAGUUUAAUAAAUAGUGUAGUACAUGUAUCAGUUUCAUAAAUAGUCAGUCAAUUUAAUAAAUAGUGUAGUACCUGUGUCAGUUUAAUAAAUAGUGUAGUACAUGUGUCAGUUUCAUAAAUAAUCAGUCAGUUUAAUAAAUAGUGUAGUACCCGUGUCAGUUUCAUAAAUAGUGAGUUUAAUAAAUAGUGUAGUACAUGUGUUAGUUUCAUAAAUAGUUAGUCAGUUUAAUAAAUAGUGUAAUAACUGUAUCAGUUUCAUAAAAUAGUCAGUGAGUUUAAUAAAUAGUGCAGUACCCGUGUCAGUUUCAUAAAUAGUGAGUUUAAUAAAUAGUGUAGUACAUGUGUCAGUUUCAUAAAUAGUCAGUCAGUUUAAUAAAUAGUGUAGUACCUGUGUCAGUUUAAUAAAUAGUGUAGUACAUGUGUCAGUUUCAUAAAUAGUCAGUCAGUUUAAUAAAUAGUGUAGUACCCGUGUCAGUUUCAUAAAUAGUGAGUUUAAUAAAUAAUGUAGUACAUGUGUUAGUUUCAUAAAUAGUUAGUCAGUUUAAUAAAUAGUGUAAUAUCUGUAUCAGUUUCAUAAAAUAGUCAGUGAGUUUAAUAAAUAGCGUAGUACCCCUGUUAGUUUCAUAAAUAGUCAGUUUAAGAAAUAGUUAGUAUUAAGUUUCAUAAAUAGUCAGUCAAUUUAAUAAAUAGUGUAGUACAUGUGUCAGUUUUAUAAAUAGUCAGUCAGUUUAAUAAAUAGUGUAGUACCCGUGUCAGUUUUAUAAAUAAUGAGUUUAAUAAAUAGUGUAGUACAUGUGUCAAUGUCAAUUUUAUAAAUAGUCAGUCGGUUUAAUAAAUAGUGUAGUACCCGUGUCAGUUUCAUAAAUAGUGAGUUUAAUAAAUAAUGUAGUACAUGUGUUAGUUUCAUAAAUAGUUAGUCAGUUUAAUAAAUAGUGUAAUAUCUGUAUCAGUUUCAUAAAAUAGUCAGUGAGUUUAAUAAAUAGCGUAGUACCCCUGUUAGUUUCAUAAAUAGUCAGUUUAAGAAAUAGUUAGUAUUAAGUUUCAUAAAUAGUCAGUCAAUUUAAUAAAUAGUGUAGUACAUGUGUCAGUUUUAUAAAUAGUCAGUCAGUUUAAUAAAUAGUGUAGUACCCGUGUCAGUUUUAUAAAUAAUGAGUUUAAUAAAUAGUGUAGUACAUGUGUCAAUGUCAAUUUUAUAAAUAGUCAGUCGGUUUAAUAAAUAGUGUAGUACCCGUGUCAGUUUCAUAAAUAGUGAGUUUCAUAAAUAGUGUAGUAUCCGUGUUAGUUUCAUAAAUAGUCAAUUUAAGAAAUAGUCAGUGCUCAGUUUAACAAAUUGUGAUAGUACCCGUUUUUAGUUUUCAAAAAUAGUCAGUAUUCAGUUUAAGAAAUAGUUUAGUAUAUGCGUUCAAUUUCAGAAAUAGUCUGUUUAAGAAAUAGUGUAGUAUCCAUAUUUAGUUUCAGAAAUAGUACCCGUGUCCAGUUUCAUACAUAACAAUUUAAAAAAAUAGUAAAUGAAGACAUAAAAUUUCAAUUUUUUAACUUUUUAUAGUGAAUGAAAUUAAAAAUAUAGGUGAAAAAAAUAAGACAAUCGGUAUAAAUAGCCUUGGUCAAGAUUGUAGCACAAGUAGUACCUGCAUGAACAAUUAAAAUUUGUAAUUACCAAGCCAGACAAAACAUUGAGCAAGAUCAAUCCAUUACGUAAUAUUUAAUUCAACUAAAAGAAAGAAAGAAAAAAAUAAACUUGUUAGUAAACUGCAGAGCUAUAAAAUAAUAGUAUUAUACCUCACAUGUUCGAUCUGAUCCUCUGCUCUAAAUUAAAAUUAAGGAAACAAAACACAGAUUUAUACAUGCAUAGAAAACUAGAUAGUACUUGAUGAAAUAGGAUUUGGCACCUUGCCACUGUCUCUCACUCCCUCUCUCAUCUAACAAAAGAACAACGAAAUUUAUUUUUUUAUUUUUUUUGCAUUAAUUUGUGGUUUUUAUUUUCAACAGUGACGUUUUGGAAGAUAAUUUCAAAGGGUUGCGAGGGAUUUUAAAGGGUUUGUAAAAGGCAGUGUCAAAAGGCUUGGGAGUUGAAGAAUGCUACAUGGAGAAAUCUUUUAUUUCCCAUCUUAAUUAAUCUCAAUUUUCUCAUCAAUCAAACAAAAGAUAGAAAAUCAAGUCGCAUAUCUAUCUACCCAAAAGUAUCCUGGAAAUUGAUAGGGUUGGGAGGGAUGUCCUUGCAGCCGGAAGACGCAGGUAAGCGUCCGAACGCCCAGAAGCCGCCCUUUGCAAUUCUUGCACCUUAGGAACGGCGGCCAUGAUCCAACUCCGACAGGUUUUUUCGGCGGAAGGUAGAUUCGGUAAGGGCGUGUCAUCUAGGUCAUACAACGACAUCUCCGCUUCUUUCUGAAGCGCGAUCUGCAUCUGUUCAUCACAUGCAUCAGGUUUCCACUGCCAUUUUUCAGAGUUGGUGGUUAUUGAUGUGUGUGUUGGAAUUGGAGAGGGAAGACAGAGAGGAGUUGAAUCUUAAUUUAGUUGGAAGAGAAAAUUACCUGGUCAGCUGGAUACCCAAAGAAUCAAGUAAAAUGAGAGCUCGUUGAUUUGACGAAGCAGAAGAUCUAUAGACAUCAUAGAGAAAAUUACCGACAUCAUGGAGAAAUAAAUUUGAGAUCUAUAUACCUUUCCUCUCUCGCGAAACGGACCAAAUAAACGGGAAAGCCAUGACGUUAAGGGCAAAAUUGGAAGUUCGAUAAAUUACAUUUUUUGAGCUAAUUUUAUUGGGCUGAUAUAAAAAUGGGCUUUGUACUAACCAUUAAAUAAACUUUCAAUGUGGUUUUUGGUUAAAAAUUAAACUUUUCAAGCCCUUUUGGUUAGUUUUCCCAUAAAUAAAUCAUCAAUUUUUAUAUUCUUUAAUUUUAAAAACUUUGUUUCCAAAUUUAAUCUCAUUAGUAUUAGCCAUUUGGAAGUGUUCACAGAAAUGUGAAAUUUUUUUGACAAAUAAAAAGCGUUUUUGAUUAAGCAAUCAUAAAUAAAAAAAUAACAAUAAUUAAGAGUAAUAAGACGCUAACUUGAUAAUGAGAUUACCAAAGACUUUUAAAUUUGGCAUUUUGCUUCUAGCAUGAUGUGAUGUCACGUUCAUGGGUUUUGUUUAUUUUCUUUAAAACUAUAAUUGCAUAUAUUGGUAGGCGCCUUUUUGGGUUGUAUUUUGAGAACUUUAACGAAAAAAUUUCUGGUACUGUUCACUUUAACGAAAAAUCACAUUUUACACUAAAAAGUCAAUUAUGGUACUAUUCAAUUUACCAUUUUAUUUAUUCUUAUUGUUAAAACUCAAAGUUUUCAAACUCUUUUUAUUAGUUUUCCUUUGUAUUUUAUGCUGUAUAACUAGUAAAUUAAUUAUAUUUAUUUUUCUAUUGUAUCAUGAUAUAUAGAAUUAGUUAUGACUUGCAAGCUUACCGAAAAAACAUUUAGUGCACACCAAACUUUUGAUACCGAUUGACAUCAUUCUAUUAUAAUAUGGAAAAAUGAGUAAAGGGUAACUAUAAGCUCAAAUAGCUUGUUUUCGGUUGUGGAAUAACAAAUAGUUUAUAAAGAAGCGACUUAUUUAUUUCUGAUUGUUUGAUUGAAUAGACUCGUUGUUCUAAAAAAAAUCACUUAAUACCAUUUAGGCGUUAGGUGACUAGUUACCGUUCAGAUUAAAAUUUGGAUGAACACUUAAUUUCACAGCCCAUCCCGAAAUUUCAUUUAUCAUGGAUGUGAAAUGACAGAAUUGUCCUUAACAGUUGCUAAGGUACGUGUAACAUGUUAUUUGAAUAUUGCAUACUCUCCUAAAUUCUUGGAAAAUUUUAAGUGGAUUAAAAUUGUAUGCAACUGUGUGGCUAGGGACUUAGGAGGACACACACACACACAAAGCAAACCUCACACUCUCUCUCCUAUUCUGUAUCUCUCUCUUCCCUCUCAGUUUCUCUCUCUCUCCCUUCGAAUUGUACAGACACACUCACCCGCAAACAUCCAGGCAUGGAUCGAAGGUUUCGAGGGCAUCAUUGUGUUCGUGAGGACCCUACGAACACAUCCAUACCUAUUUCAGGUAAGAAACCUUUCGAUUUCACGUUGAAAACUCGAGGUCCGAAUUGAGCACUGUUCACGAACUUUGUAAUGGUUGGUUUUUAGGACAAUCCAAGCUCACAAUGAGCUUAAGGAGGUUCCCACGAAGCUCGGGGACGUUCGUUUGGAGGUUUUGGACGUCGGGAUCGCAGGGUUCGAAGUUGGCCAGUUUUCUUGGAUUUUCUCCGGUGAGAUUUCGUGUGUUUUUUAGCCUUAAAUUAGUUCAUCAUGAUUCUACAUGCUUAGGGCUUCAUUUUGGUAUAAAUUUCGUAAAAAAUGGUUGAGAAUUGACGAAGAAUAAGGAGUUUGAAAAUAACCUAGAAACCGACGACUUUUUCGUCGCUGGCGAAACCAAUCCGACGACUGGAGGUAGGGGGUGACGCACGUGGGGGCGCGUGCGGCAUUGAAAAAAAUUUCUAAAAAUUUGGUGAUGAUUCUAAGGUUGUGUAGAUCACUGUGGUAUAUUCAUUUACCCAAAUUGAGCAUCGUAUGAGAAGUUAUGUCGUAUUGUUGGUUAUGUGCUUUAAAAUGAUGUUUUUAUAGUUGUUUCGCAUAUAGGUGAGACCUAUCCUGAGGACGAGCGUGUUCAAGGGCGUCACGGGGGUUACGACCAUUCGACAUACCAGUGAGUGGGCAGUUAUUUUCUGUUAUACCUAUAUACUAUUGAUUUUUCCUAGAAAUUGAAUUUAAAUGGAAGUACGUUUUAAAAUGCCAUGCAUACAUAAUAUAUGAAUUAUAUGAACUAGUAUUUGAUGCAUAUAUGUGAAAUGGUGCUGUGGAUUGAUCAGAUCAUAUUUAUAUAUAUUUUUACUUCGAAUUCACUCGUCUUUUCUUAGUUAGUUCCUUAUAUUUUUGACCUAUUUACGUUAUUUUUGUGUUUAUAGGAUUUGUUAUGCAAAGAAAAUAAAAAUAGAACAAGUGAAAUUUUAUGUAAUAAAUUCGUCAAAACUGCAUGUGUAGAUCAGCUGACUUUGGGAGCAAGUUGCGAACAGCUCAGAAUGAAUUAGAAAAUGAGCCUUAUAUGCUUGGAAAGCUACAGAUGUCUAUUUUCUAGAACACUUCAUGGAUUGUUAAUAUUAUUUUUCUAGAAGAAGUUAUGGGCAUUUGAGUAAGGGAAGGUCUAGCUGACGACAACUUGCAGAUUGGAAUUGAAAAACAGACAAAGAUGACAAAGAAGAGCAUAAAGCAUAAAAUCAUGAUGAAUAAUCAUGAUGAAUGAUUAAGGCUGCCCUUUGGUUUUGUCUGAAAGGCAACAAAUACAGCAAAGCACAGGUUGGCAAUAGAAGAAAAGUCAAAUAAAGAAAUAAAUAAAAACAGCAAGUAGAGGAGGGCUCAAGCGAAAAAGGCAGGACAGAAGGCAGAGAGAUGGAUAGAUAGAACAGACAGAAAAUUUAGUGAGAGAGAUGGACGAGGAGCAGAAACGAGAGAAGAAUCAGCAAGCUGCCUUGCGCAGCGUGAGCCUCGGAGAGGAGAGAUAGGCAGAGAGAGAUUGACAGAGGCUGACGGAAGCACGGCAGCAGUAGCACAGAAGCAGAGGCUUCACUCAAUCUUUCGGUUAAAUCUUUCCGAAUUUAUAUUUUAUUUCUGUUUUAAUAAUGUGUAACUAAAUUUAUUUUGGCUAGAGGUUAAUUCAAAGCCAUGAAUAUAAUUGUAAUAUGAAUUGAUUACCUUCAGUUGUGAUUUCUGAGUUGUGAUUUAAUUUGCUUAACUGCUUGAUUGAUAACUUAUUUUUGUAUGUCGAUUAAGAAUGCAUACUUAAUUUACAUGCAUGAAUUUGACGCUAGAAUAUAAGGGAGUUUCACCUAAUCGUUAUGAACUUAUAUUCACAAGUAGUGAAGGUUGCUAGUCACAAUCACGUUAAGUAAAUUCUUGGCAUAAGUUUCAUGCAAAUCAUAGUAACGAGUGCCUCGUCAAUGCUUAUGUUUUUCAUAGAACUUAAUGAUUCUUGCUUGUAUCUCUAUUAUGCAAUUCAUGUAGGGAACUUGUAGGGAAUGUUUUGGGUUGUCAUAUGCAAUCAUCCAACCUAAUAACUUGUGGAAAAACUGAGGGUUAAUUAGUGCAAUUCACGGUUAAUUUGGGGCGUUGAGAUUUACAAUUUAUUGAAAGAACAACUGAAAAUCAAUUUAGGUUGCAUAUGUGUCAUGUGUGGAGAAGAACCCUCUAGCUAGUCCGUCACCUGUCCUUUCACCUUAAUUUCAUGCUUCUGUCAAUUCUGUAAUUUAUUUAAGUUUAAUUUACUUCUCGUCAAAACCAAACCCUCCCCAUUAUUAAAUUAUAUUAUUUAGUUAGUUUUCAUUGUUGUUAGUCUUUUAAUUCAAUUUCCGUCCACUUCAGUUCCUAGUGUCUAAUUUGAUUGUUUUCAUUAUUUUUAGUCAUUCUAAGUGUGUUUCGAGGUAUUAGAGCUUUUAGCCUAGUUUUGUGUCCUUGAGUCUUGUUUAAUAUUUUUAAAUUAAUUUAGAAUAGAUUAGCAAUCCCUCCUAAUCCCCGGCCUAGAACGAUACCCUACUUACAUCUAUACUACAAUUGUCAAAAAGAGGGUUAAAUUUUGUGUGCUUAUAUUAUUCGCAUCAUGGAUGCACAGGUAAGUAUCAGGUGAGUUUUAUGUGUUCAUGUGAAUUAUUAAUGAUAUGAAUUGUGUUGAGAGCUCAUAACUUGCACCCCUGGUGUUAGUGCUUAUAUUAUUCACCCCGCACCACACGCUCACCUUGGAUCCAAGUAGGUGCAUGUCGAACAGACCAUUAGAGGUGGUUCCGACAUGUCGAACAGACCAUUAGAGGUGGUUCCGACUUGUAGGUGACUUUAGAUUAUUAUACAGUUGUUGAUGAGAGAAGCACUAGAGCGUAUUCUUACACCAUUCUUAUCGUACAGGCUACUUCAGGUAGUUCCGAUUUAUGUGCAGAGUAGUGCCGUACAGGUCACAGUGGUGACUCCGGUUGGGUUGGAUAUUGAGUUAUAGAAUUAACCGUACAGGACAGCUGCAGGGUCUCCGGUUGAUUCAUUAUUUCACCUGUUAUAUUGAUGCAUCCUUAUUAUGUUCGAAGCAUAACAUGGCAUAUUUCUUGAAAAGUGUUAAAAACUUGUGUUUUGAGUUAAUUGCUGUUAUAUAUGGUUAUAUAUACUAUUUUUCUGGGAAAGUAUAUAGGUUUUACAGCGAGGGGUUAGAAGUGUUAUUAAUUGAAAUAUUUUCGAAAAGCUUUAUUUUACUGACCCACUCAAUCUUGUUUUGCGCCUCUUCAGGUUCUAGUUAGCGGUGUUGGUGACCCACGAGGAUUUCCCACGACGUUCUGACAUACUACUUAAAUGUAGGCCUCACCUUCGGGUGUUGUAAUUUAGUAAUGGUUCUACUUGACUGCACUUAGUACUUAUGCUCUGAAUACGUGUGUUUCACACUUAAACUCACUCUAGCAUGUUAGUUGGAUAUUACUGCUAGUAGUUGGUUUUUAUUCCUUCGUAAUUCUUUUAUCUUUUGCUUCCGCAUCGCACUUUUGGUUACGUCACGCCCACAUGACGGUCAGCACGCCUUGAUUCUAGGAUCGGGGUGUGUCACUUAAUGCAUGUUUGUUCCACAUGUUUUUAAUAUAUUCUAAUACUUUGUAUUCUAUGUCAUUUUGUUUUAUAAUUUAUGUAACACAAUAAAUUAUGUUUUUUUAAGUAUAAGUAAACAAUUAUUUUUAUUUUAUAUAACAAAAUUAAUUAAAAAGGGUAUGGGUGCCCACCUAGGCCCUACCUAAUCGUUAGACCAUUAUCCACAGCUCGACUAGCACUUAGCACCUUCUAAAACCUUGAAUAAACUUAAAUGGUUUGGUGUCGAUUGUGGGAUAAUAAAUAGUUUAGAUUAGAGGUCCUCAACCUCAUUACUCAAUACUAAAUAAUGGAUAAGCAGAAAUUUAGGAUUAAAUGAGUUUUCCUUUUAAAAUGGCAUCUUUUGAUCCUUUUUUCCUUUAUUGUUAGAAUUUCAAUUCAACGACUUAAAAGGGAAAUAAUAGUAGCCAAUAAAAAAGAAAAACAGCUUAACCUAACGUCAAAUAUUGCAUAU